CUCUGGAUACAACAGAUUUUUUUUGUUUUUUGUGUCGCUUUAUUGACUAACGUAACACCGCUACUUGCGUUUGCGUCUGGCUACAAAACAGAAUGCCAAUUCAAUUCAAAAUUCAUCGUUUGCUUUUACCAUUACCAAUAUAAAUCCAUCGCAAACGCGUUUCUACCUCCUCGCCUACAAGUCGUGCUCUUGCUCACACACUUACUUGCCAAAAAAGACUUCACGCACACCAAUACACCGACCGGCGUUUUCGCUCGACUUGUUGUAUUUUUCAUACGUGUCUACCGUCAACUACAUACGUCGUCCGUUCCGUAUGGUACGAUGCCUUCCCCCUCUCUCUCUCUCCUCUUCAUCUUCCGUUAUCAACGGAACAUUGUUUGUGUAUAUAUGCCCGGGGAAAGUAAAAUGUAAAUUAGUUCCUAUACCAAGCAUUAGCGAUGAAACUAUUUUUAUUUCUCUGCUGCAUACACUUCUCGAAUAAAUUCAGUAAAAAAAAACAAUGUAUAGUAAGUAACAAUUGUAACGGAAGUUAUAAGUGUUUGUUAUUUAGUACGCUUAUUUAGCUGGAAAAGUAAGGUAAUUGAAGGAAAAGUAAGGUAAAAAAUAUGCGAUAGAAACAAAGUAUUGUUGUUCAGCGAAUACCAGAUGAUCGUAGCGGACUAACGAAAUGUAUAAUGUAGUAUCAAAAGAGGGAUUAAUAAGUUAAAGCAAGUUGUACAUCCAAAUAUAGUUGUUAAAGUAUAUUGUAUUUAUUGUAUGUAACUUAAUUUACAGCUUACUUAACUAAUUUAAUGACUAACAAGCUAAUUAAGUCAAUUCAAACACUACUAUUCACAAAACUAAUUAUUUUUUUCUGGUGGCGAGAUGUACGCUUACUAAUGCUAAUCUUAAUCCUAUCCUUAGCAUGAUAUAGUUUUCUUUUUUAAAAAAUUCUACGUAAUAACUAUUUAAAACUAAAGCGUUAUUACAUCCUAAUUCUACAAAUAAUUUUACCACUAACUUAAAUUUACCUAAGCCGGCCGUUUGUUUUUGUUCGUCCCGCUUUUUGCUUUUUUCCAGCCCAAUUCAUGGUGGCAAAGAAGCGUUUGGUGAACAGUCGAUCAAUUAAUUCGUGAAUACUGUUAUCCACGUCCACAUGAGUGAUCUGUGUUCCAAGCCAAUGAACAAGUUUUGCUCUAUACUCCGAAUCGUCUUGAAGAAGUGCAUCUAAAUUUUGCAGCUCUUCUACCGAAUCUAUCGGAGCAAAAUCAAACUCCAAGCAGGGUCGAACGUAGCCCAGUGAGUGUGCGGAACAUAUUUUCUUAGUCAUAUGGGUCAACCGUGUCCGUAUUCGUAGCAACACUGCACUUGUACGCGCGUGUCUAAAAAUCAGAAAGUUGAUAAAUAACAAUACACCAAUUUGUGCUAGACAAUGUUUCAUAAAACUUGCUUCUAGUCGAAUGCACGGAACAUGAUGACGGUUGACCAUCGAUGUUGGAUACUGUAAAAAAAAGAAUGAAAAAAGUGUACGUCAAAAACCUAAAGGCAGUAUAUAAGGACUAAUGGUAAUUGUCACCUCCUUUUCCUGAACGCACACUGGGAUGCUGGGAAACCCGACUUGCCCUCCAGUUUCCCCGUCCUUUUCCAUGUCGGUGUCUAUAAUGAGCGAAAAGACGAAAAACGGGUAUGAAACAUUUAAUCAUACUCGAAUGCAAAAAAUCUUAGCGUGCUUACCGGUUAUGGAAUUCGCGCUCAAUGUUAAUGUAUCAGAAUCUUAAAAAAGAACAAUUAGAUAUUAAUCUGAUGCAAUGGAUAAAUAAUUUGCAAUAACUUAUUUACCAGUUUCGAGCCAUUCCUCGUAAUAUUCAAAAUCCUUGUUCGACUCGUUUGACAUGUUGAAUCUGGGUAAAAAGUAAAAAAACAUCAAUUAGUUCAAGCCACUGACAAGACGGCGCAUGACCGUAAUAAUAAAUAUAUAAAUAAAUAGUUUAAGUCACUUCAGCGUAUUCCGUUCCCCGGUCUACAACACUACUACUGUUACUACCACAACUAUCACGACUAGUGUACACUACACCACUAUCCAGAAAGCGAAUAACGCACUAAUUAAGCGUAAGUAGUAGCGUAUAAAUCACUACACCUCUGAGCAACCUUGGUGGUUCGGUCUUCAAGAUAUGGUAUGAGUGCAACACGCUACUAAUGUUCUAAUCUCACUUUUACUUACCGGUUUCAGAGCUUUGAAAAAAUAUAAAUCCUCCGAAUACUAUCGACGCCGACAACUUCACUCUCCAAGUGCUGAUAAGAGAAUGUACCGUUACGAUACACGAUUUCAUAUACACCCCACUCAUGCUAAUCGUAGAAUCCACGACAUUUGGAGAAGCAAAACCGUAACAAGAGAGAAGAACGAACACGAUGCAAUAACAGAAAACUCCCAAAAAAAUCUCCCCCACUUUUUUUUGUGACACACAUGACGACGCCAUAAUACAUUUAUAAAAACUUAUCCUCGAAAAUUUGUUUACAUUUUGCAUGGUUAUCGUCGAAAUUUUUUAUAAAACAUAAUUUUUUUCGUUUUCGAAACUUCGUUAACGAAUGCAUUUACCAAAACAUUUACGAAAACAGAUAACUUGGGGAGCAGACGCGUGUUUUUAUUUAUUUAUUGAUUAUUACGGUUUGACGCCGUUCUGUCAGACGCGUGUUUUUGUGAGCAAAUAUAUUUUCACCUGUGAUAUCCGAACUGAUAUCUUUUCCUGCACGAAGGUUCUGCUCUCAACACUUAUUAGCUAGGAAAGAAGGGGAUAAACGUGUGUUUCAUUUUGGUCCACAGAAGGUAAGCUCGUGUCAUUGUCCGUAUGCUGCCAAGAGCUGCUGAGGAUAAAACAACUGCUAACUGGUGUCUUAGGCGAGGAUGAUACAAAUGGAACCGACGUGUGGGAAGAUAACUAGUCGUGCAUCAAAAUAGUGGAAUCAGACCGUAUGGACCGUUCCAAACACAUCACUCCUUUCACGCAAGCCUUCAGCUACACGGGGAUAGAUUACUUCGGACCGUUUGUGGUGGUCGAUGGACGAAACACGCGUGGGGGCGUUUAUUUACCUGUAUGACUGUGCGUGCGAUCCACAUCGAAACCGUUCCAUCGCUAUCCACCAGCGUUUGCAUAAUCGCAAUAUGGAACUUUAUAGGUCGCCGCGGAACGCCGGUUGAAAUCUUCUCGGACCGAGGUACAAAUUUCAUUGGAGCGAGUCGAGAACUUCGGGAAGCGCUAAAAGAAGUAAACACCGAUGAGAUAAUCGACGCAAUGAGCUUACCAGAUAGAGCUUUAACCCGCCAGCGGCAUCGCAAUUUGGGGGAACAUGGGAACGCUUGAUUUGCACAGUGAAACAAACCCUCCAAAAUAUCCAGUUUACGAGACACCCUACAGACGCUGUAUUGAACAGUUGGCUGAUAGAGGUUCCUCAUCAGGAGUAAAACCCUUCGUACCACCUGACGACACAACGACCACGGUACGAAACAAUUGGAAGACAUCACAGGUUUAUGCUUAUCUGUUUUGGAAGAAAUUGGUAGCUUCCUACCUCCCCACUCUGACCCGACGGACGAAAUGGUUUCAGCCCUGCAAACCGCUACACGAGGGAGACGUGGUUCUGAUCAUCAACGAAAAUCUCCCGCGGAUAAGCUGGUCCAAGGGACGUGUAAUUCGCGCGAUUCAAUCUAAGGACGGUGCGGUGAGACGAAUGCACGUUCAUUUAGCUACCGGAAAAUAUGCGAGCGAAUGGCAGUCAUGGUAGCAAAUAUCGACGUUCUUCUUCUUUUUCUUGUUCUGUCGAGGUGUUUCACGAUUCGGCACAAGAGUCUAGCUUCCUGUUUCCCUCCUGCGCUACUUCGUGAAUUUGUCACCGUGACAGCACCACUAAAUAUGUGGACCGACUGCUAAGGUCAUAUGUCCCUAAUUUACUGUUUACUGCGUUAUUUCGAUAAUGUUUUUUGAGAUUUUUACGUUGGUGUUGAUUACUCUUUUUUAUGUUUGACAUUUCGUGUGUUCGAGUUUGUUAGGGGUCUGUUUAUACUUGCUACUGCUGAUCUUUAUGCUUUUUCCGUUUUUUCUUUUUUCUUUGUUGGUCUAUUCUGUAAUGAGUUAUAGUAAAAGAAUUUCGGACGGAAUUCAGGAACGCGACACUUCACGGGAGAGCUUCAGGUUUCAUCUGGGCUUUAUUAAGAAUGAAUAACAAAACAAAAUGGCUGCUUAAGGCGCCAAAACAAAAACGUCACACUGACAGCUAAGAAACUUCAUAUGUCCCAGGCUGCACGGAACAUAUGAAAACACCAAAUCCCUCGGUUUACAAUACUAAGUCAGCGAGUUCAUGAACUUUAUAAGGCUUUUUACCUAAUAAUAAAUAGUAAAAUCAUAAAAAA